GAUGAACGCUGGCGGCGUGCCUAAUACAUGCAAGUCGAGCGAACAGACGAGAGUGCUUGCACUCUCUGACGUUAGCGGCGGACGGGUGAGUAACACGUGGGUAACCUACCUAUAAGACUGGGAUAACUUCGGGAAACCGGAGCUAAUACCGGAUAAUAUUUAGCUUCGCAUGAAGCAAUAGUGAAAGACGGUUCUGCUGUCACUUAUAGAUGGACCCGCGGUGUAUUAGCUAGUUGGUGAGGUAACGGCUCACCAAGGCAACGAUACAUAGCCGACCUGAGAGGGUGAUCGGCCACACUGGGACUGAGACACGGCCCAGACUCCUACGGGAGGCAGCAGUAGGGAAUCUUCCGCAAUGGAAGAAAGUCUGACGGAGCAAUGCCGCGUGAGUGAAGAAGGUUUUCGGAUCGUAAAACUCUGUUGUAAGGGAAGAACAAGUACGUUAGUAACUGAACGUACCUUGACGGUACCUUACCAGAAAGCCACGGCUAACUACGUG
rnacentral:rRNA from 1 species